rnacentral:rRNA from 1 species
GACGAACGCUGGCGGCGUGCUUAACACAUGCAAGUCGAGCGGUAAGGCCCUUUCGGGGUACGACGAGCGGCGAACGGGUGAGUAACACGUGGGUGGACCUGCCCUCCAGCUCUGGGAGUAAGCCUGGGAAACCGGGUCUAAUACUGGAUAUGACUCCAUGACGCAUGUUGUGGGGUGGAAAGCCUUGUGCGGCUGAGGAUGGGCCCGCGGCCUAUCAGCUUGUUGGUGGGGUGAUGG